AGUGUUGUACCUCGCUGAUACGGGGGUGGAUCCGAAACAUCUAGAAGGUUUACUUAGGCUAUCCACCUCCUACUCCUACUCAAUACGUCCCCGUCAUACAGAACGGUAACAUGUCUUUCAAUUAUCCAAGCUUGGGUAUACGGGGAAACCCAACCCCUUGGUCGGAUGGGUUACAUGGCUAAAUUGGCUAAU
rnacentral:ribozyme from 1 species